rnacentral:rRNA from 1 species
CCUACGGGUGGCAGCAGUGAGGAAUAUUGGUCAAUGGGCGCGAGCCUGAACCAGCCAAGUAGCGUGAAGGAUGACUGCCCUACGGGGUGUAAACUUCUGUUAUAAAGGAAUAAAGUGAGGCACGUGUGCGAUUUUGUAUGUACUAUAUGAAUAAGGAUCGGCUAACUCCGUGCCAGCAGCCGCGGUAAUACGGAGGAUCCGAGCGUUAUCCGGAUUUAGUGGGUUUAAAGGGAGCGUAGGUGGGUUGUUAAGUCAGUUGUGAAAGUUUGCGGCUCCACCGUAAAAUUGCACUUGAUACUGGCAGCCUUUAGUACAGUUGCGGUCGGCGGACUUCGUGGUGUAGCGG